CCAUGAACCUCUCCUCACUACUUUUGCCCAAGCACCCAUCCCUCUACCAUACCACCGACGUUUAAGGAAAUGGUGGCUCCAUCCCCAACCCAGGCAAAUGUAUUCUGAUGAUUUUGAGCCAUUUAUAGUAGUUCCGUGGUAUCCUUUUCAGGCCAAAGAGAUAUGAGGAGGAGUUGGAUGAAGGUCCUGGAAAAAUUUCUCCACUUUUAAGUAGGUAACACCGAAAAAUCAGACCUUUUCAACUCCUCCUUUCAUUCUGCCUGGAUGUGAUGGCUAGAAAUGCUACCAGCUGAGGAAGAAGCCAAAACGUGAAGGACAGAAUCAAAAUGCGGGGAAGCUGAGCUGGAACCCUGGCAAACCAGGCUGGAGUUGCCCUACCUCGGUUUUAGGCACUUUGAGUCAGGGCUUUCGGGUACUUACAGUCAAAGGCAUCUAAAUUCACCAUAGCAUUGUGUAAGAGGCAAAAUACCCUGACUUACUCAACCCUCCAGAAAUCCCUUUGUUACUUUGUUGUCCUUUGGUGGAAAACAUUUCCCAGAAUUCUUUUCUGGGAAAAUAAAAAAUCCCUGCUGAGAACUUAGCCCAGUGCUACACUGAGAAAUGUACUAAAUAGUUACCAAUGAUUGCUAUGAUCUGCUUUUUUUCUUUUAAUCACUAUUUCCAUUUGAUUAUUAUAACUUGUGACUGCAAAAUAAUUUAAAGUUUGCAAAUUGCUUUGUGUCAUUUCAUUUAAUUCCAAUAGCUGUCCUAUGAUAUAGAGGAAAAGAUGUGUGAAAAAAUGGAGCACAGAAAGAUUACAAUAUUUGACCAAGACCAGGAAUCUCGAAAAUGUCUAGGAAUCUCGAAAAUGUCUUAAAUCUAAGUCCUCAAAGCUAGUGCUGUUUCCAUCAAAUCACAGCUAGAGGUGAGAGCAAACCUAUGGGUUAUGAUGAAGGAAACAUUUGCAAAAGAGAAGCAGGAAGGCAGCUCCAGCCCACUUGCAAGGAAACCGGGAUCUGCUCCGGGCUAUGUCAUCUGCUAGCUGUGAAAACCUAGGCUGAAAUAGGAGGGUAUUAAUCCUGUCUCAAGUUGUCCAUCCAGCAGUUGUUCUCUAAAUCAAGUUCUUUUCGUCAUCAGUAGCUCCACUAACGGGCAAAAUUCUUUCUCCUUGCCAGUCCUAAACCCUUAAGAGGUAGCAUCUCUGUUCUCUACCUUUAGCCAAAUCUGAAUUAAUCUGUUCAGAAUGAACAGCAGAAUAGUCUUUGGAUUUGAUUCAAAUCCCUGAAGCACUUUGGGAAUGAGAAUGGCGGUACCAGCCAGAGAGACCCUGGCGACUUAUGAUGCCACAGAACACCUCAGACGCUUGAGACUGG